AGCGAACGCUGGCGGCAGGCCUAACACAUGCAAGUCGAACGGAUCCUUCGGGAUUAGUGGCGGACGGGUGAGUAACACGUGGGAACGUGCCUUUUGGUUCGGAACAACUCAGGGAAACUUGAGCUAAUACCGGAUGUGCCCUUCGGGGAAGGAUUAUCGCCAUUAGAGCGGCCCGCGUCUGAUUAGCUAGUUGGUGGGGUAAAGGCCCACCAAGGCGACGAUCAGUAGCUGGUCUGAGAGGAUGAUCAGCCACACUGGGACUGAGACACGGCCCAGACUCCUACGGGAGGCAGCAGUGGGGAAUCUUGCGCAAUGGGCGAAAGCCUGACGCAGCCAUGCCGCGUGAAUGAUGAAGGUCUUAGGAUUGUAAAAUUCUUUCACCGGGGACGAUAAUGACGGUACCCGGAGAAGAAGCCCCGGCUAACUUCGUG
rnacentral:rRNA from 1 species